rnacentral:rRNA from 1 species
CCUACGGGAGGCAGCAGUGAGGAAUAUUGGUCAAUGGGCUUACGCCUGAACCAGCCAAGUCGCGUGAGGGAAGACUGCCCUAUGGGUUGUAAACCUCUUUUGUCAGGGAGCAACGCCGGCUACGUGUAGCCGGACUGAGAGUACCUGAAGAAAAAGCAUCGGCUAACUCCGUGCCAGCAGCCGCGGUAAUACGGAGGAUGCGAGCGUUAUCCGGAUUUAUUGGGUUUAAAGGGUGCGUAGGCGGAAUGCCAAGUCAGCGGUAAAGUCGCGGGGCUCAACCUCGCUCCGCCGUUGAAACUGGCGUUCUUGAGUGGGCGAGAAGUGUGUGGAAUGCGUGGUGUAGCGGUGAAAUGCAUAGAUAUCACGCAGAACUCCGAUUGCGAAGGCAGCAUACCGGCGCCCAACUGACGCUGAAGCACGAAAGCGUGGGUAUCGAACAGGAUUAGAUACCCCUGUAGUC